UAGGCAGCAAGCGUUGUUCGGAGUUACUGGGCGUAAAGGGUGCGUAGGCGGCUUUUUAAGUCUGGUGUGAAAUCUCCCGGCUCAACUGGGAGGGUGCGCCGGAUACUGAGGGGCUAGAGUGUGGGAGAGGAAAGUGGAAUUCCUGGUGUAGCGGUGAAAUGCGUAGAUAUCAGGAGGAACACCGGUGGUGUAAACGGCUUUCUGGACCAUAACUGACGCUGAGGCACGAAAGCGUGGGUAGCAAACAGG
rnacentral:rRNA from 1 species